rnacentral:rRNA from 1 species
UACGGGGGGAGCAAGCGUUGUUCGGAAUCACUGGGCGUAAAGCGCACGUAGGCGGAUUUGUAAGUCAGGGGUGAAAUCCCGGGGCUCAACCUCGGAACUGCCUUUGAUACUGCGAAUCUUGAGUCCGAUAGAGGUGGGUGGAAUUCCUAGUGUAGAGGUGAAAUUCGUAGAUAUUAGGAAGAACACCGGUGGCGAAGGCGGCCCACUGGAUCGGUACUGACGCUGAGGUGCGAAAGCGUGGGGAGCAAACAGG